rnacentral:rRNA from 1 species
GUAGGUGGCAAGCGUUGUCCGGAUUUACUGGGUGUAAAGGGCGUGUAGGCGGGAAGACAGGUCAGAUGUGAAAUCCCUCGGCUUAACCGAGGAACUGCAACUAAAACUACUUUUCUUGAGUGCUGGAGAGGAAAGUGGAAUUCCUAGUGUAGCGGUGAAAUGCGUAGAUAUUAGGAGGAACACCAGUGGCGAAGGCGACUUUCUGGACAGUAACUGACGCUGAGGCACGAAAGUGUGGGGAGC